CAGUAGCCGCGGGAAUACGUAGGUGGCAAGCGUUAUCCGGAAUUAUUGGGCGUAAAGCGCGCGUAGGCGGUUUUUUAAGUCUGAUGUGAAAGCCCCCGGCUCAACCGGGGAGGGUCAUUGGAAACUGGGAAACUUGAGUGCAGAAGAGGAGAGUGGAAUUCCACGUGUAGCGGUGAAAUGCGUAGAUAUAUGAAGGAACACCAGUGGCGAAGGCGACUCUCUGGUCUGUAACUGACGCUGAGGCGCGAAAGCGUGGGGAGCAAACAGGAUUAGAUACCCCCGUAGUCCCUGUCUCUUAUAC
rnacentral:rRNA from 1 species